GGAUCGGUAGCGCAAUGGUAGCGCUUCUGACUCCAGAUUAGAAGGUUGUGUGUUCGAUUCACGUCGGGUUCA
rnacentral:tRNA from 1 species